CUUAUUGGAGAAAAUAGGACACAUAAAGAAACACAACAAUUGUCAAGAACAGUGUGAACAAGAAGCAGAUAUGCACAAGGCCCAGAGGUGUGAGCAGCCGUGGCACUCAGUGAUACUGUCCCAAGCCAGCCAAGAUAGGGAGGGUCGUGGAGACCUCCUGUCAUCCAUGAAGAUACGGAGCAUUGAAGUUGCCUCUAGAUUCAGGGAAGUCGAGCAAGUGCCUCCCUGCUUGAUCAGAUGAGCGCAGGUCGACGUGUUGUCGGUGCGGAUAAGGACAUCUGGAACGUGGCUUGCCAUCGGGAAACAAAUUGGGUCAGACGGCCGCCCACCCGCUGCGUUGGAGGAGAGUCAGAAACGUUGUUGGGCCUGACGCCCUUGUCUUGGGAGCAGAAGGCAGAGAAAGAGAGAAGAGAAGCAGCCUGAAACAAUAAACAAACAAUAAAGCAAAGGAGGAGUAGAGAAUUGAAAGGAAGACACAAAAUGGGUGAGAAAAAACACCACAGGGAGGAAAGAAGCUAGUCUAGAAUGGAAGACAGCCAAGUAGGAUGUGGUCCGAGCUGAGACAGGAAAUAAAACUGAGCCUCAGCAGGAAGGGAGGAGCAAAAAAACUUUUCCUGAAGCACUUCCUGUCUCUGAGCUGAAGGGGAAGCUGCAGAGUACCCAUGUGGAGACCUCUGUCAUUCAUGAGAGAAUUCUGUGCUCAGGCACAUCCUAAUUCUGCAGCAAGAAAAGCUAAAUUCUGUGACUUCAAUAAAGAAUGAAAAAUGAGCAAUUUUACAGAAUUCCAGUAACAACAG